rnacentral:rRNA from 1 species
GAUGAACGCUGACAGAAUGCUUAACACAUGCAAGUCAACUUGAAUUUGGGUUUUUAACUUAGAUUUGGGUGGCGGACGGGUGAGUAACGCGUAAAGAACUUGCCUCACAGCUAGGGACAACAUUUAGAAAUGAAUGCUAAUACCUGAUAUUAUGAUUUUAAGGCAUCUUAGAAUUAUGAAAGCUAUAAGCACUGUGAGAGAGCUUUGCGUCCCAUUAGCUAGUUGGAGAGGUAACAGCUCACCAAGGCGAUGAUGGGUAGCCGACCUGAGAGGGUGAACGGCCACAAGGGGACUGAGACACGGCCCUUACUCCUACGGGAGGCAGCAGUGGGGAAUAUUGGACAAUGGACCGAGAGUCUGAUCCAGCAAUUCUGUGUGCACGAUGAAGUUUUUCGGAAUGUAAAGUGCUUUCAGUUGGGAAGAAAUAAANGACG